rnacentral:rRNA from 3 species
AAAUUGAAGAGUUUGAUCAUGGCUCAGAUUGAACGCUGGCGGCAGGCCUAACACAUGCAAGUCGAACGGUAACAGGAAGCAGCUUGCUGCUUCGCUGACGAGUGGCGGACGGGUGAGUAAUGUCUGGGAAACUGCCUGAUGGAGGGGGAUAACUACUGGAAACGGUGGCUAAUACCGCAUAACGUCGCAAGACCAAAGAGGGGGACCUUCGGGCCUCUUGCCAUCAGAUGUGCCCAGAUGGGAUUAGCUAGUUGGUGAGGUAACGGCUCACCAAGGCGACGAUCCCUAGCUGGUCUGAGAGGAUGACCAGCCACACUGGAACUGAGACACGGUCCAGACUCCUACGGGAGGCAGCAGUGGGGAAUAUUGCACAAUGGGCGCAAGCCUGAUGCAGCCAUGCCGCGUGUAUGAAGAAGGCCUUCGGGUUGUAAAGUACUUUCAGCGGGGAGGAAGGUGUUGUGGUUAAUAACCACAGCAAUUGACGUUACCCGCAGAAGAAGCACCGGCUAACUCCGUGCCAGCAGCCGCGGUAAUACGGAGGGUGCAAGCGUUAAUCGGAAUUACUGGGCGUAAAGCGCACGCAGGCGGUCUGUCAAGUCGGAUGUGAAAUCCCCGGGCUCAACCUGGGAACUGCAUUCGAAACUGGCAGGCUUGAGUCUUGUAGAGGGGGGUAGAAUUCCAGGUGUAGCGGUGAAAUGCGUAGAGAUCUGGAGGAAUACCGGUGGCGAAGGCGGCCCCCUGGACAAAGACUGACGCUCAGGUGCGAAAGCGUGGGGAGCAAACAGGAUUAGAUACCCUGGUAGUCCACGCCGUAAACGAUGUCUACUUGGAGGUUGUGCCCUUGAGGCGUGGCUUCCGGAGCUAACGCGUUAAGUAGACCGCCUGGGGAGUACGGCCGCAAGGUUAAAACUCAAAUGAAUUGACGGGGGCCCGCACAAGCGGUGGAGCAUGUGGUUUAAUUCGAUGCAACGCGAAGAACCUUACCUGGUCUUGACAUCCACGGAAGUUUUCAGAGAUGAGAAUGUGCCUUCGGGAACCGUGAGACAGGUGCUGCAUGGCUGUCGUCAGCUCGUGUUGUGAAAUGUUGGGUUAAGUCCCGCAACGAGCGCAACCCUUAUCCUUUGUUGCCAGCGAUUAGGUCGGGAACUCAAAGGAGACUGCCAGUGAUAAACUGGAGGAAGGUGGGGAUGACGUCAAGUCAUCAUGGCCCUUACGACCAGGGCUACACACGUGCUACAAUGGCGCAUACAAAGAGAAGCGACCUCGCGAGAGCAAGCGGACCUCAUAAAGUGCGUCGUAGUCCGGAUUGGAGUCUGCAACUCGACUCCAUGAAGUCGGAAUCGCUAGUAAUCGUGGAUCAGAAUGCCACGGUGAAUACGUUCCCGGGCCUUGUACACACCGCCCGUCACACCAUGGGAGUGGGUUGCAAAAGAAGUAGGUAGCUUAACCUUCGGGAGGGCGCUUACCACUUUGUGAUUCAUGACUGGGGUGAAGUCGUAACAAGGUAACCGUAGGGGAACCUGCGGUUGGAUCACCUCCUUACCUUAAAGAA